rnacentral:rRNA from 1 species
AGUAGGGCGGGACACGUGGUAUCCUGUCUGAAUAUGGGGGGACCAUCCUCCAAGGCUAAAUACUCCUGACUGACCGAUAGUGAACCAGUACCGUGAGGGAAAGGCGAAAAGAACCCCGGCGAGGGGAGUGAAAAAGAACCUGAAACCGUGUACGUACAAGCAGUGGGAGCACGCUUAGGCGUGUGACUGCGUACCUUUUGUAUAAUGGGUCAGCGACUUAUAUUCUGUAGCAAGGUUAACCGAAUAGGGGAGCCGAAGGGAAACCGAGUCUUAACUGGGCGUUAAGUUGCAGGGUAUAGACCCGAAACCCGGUGAUCUAGCCAUGGGCAGGUUGAAGGUUGGGUAACACUAACUGGAGGACCGAACCGACUAAUGUUGAAAAAUUAGCGGAUGACUUGUGGCUGGGGGUGAAAGGCCAAUCAAACCGGGAGAUAGCUGGUUCUCCCCGAAAGCUAUUUAGGUAGCGCCUCGUGAAUUCAUCUCCGGGGGUAGAGCACUGUUUCGGCAAGGGGGUCAUCCCGACUUACCAACCCGAUGCAAACUGCGAAUACCGGAGAAUGUUAUCACGGGAGACACACGGCGGGUGCUAACGUCCGUCGUGAAGAGGGAAACAACCCAGACCGCCAGCUAAGGUCCCAAAGUCAUGGUUAAGUGGGAAACGAUGUGGGAAGGCCCAGACAGCCAGGAUGUUGGCUUAGAAGCAGCCAUCAUUUAAAGAAAGCGUAAUAGCUCACUGGUCGAGUCGGCCUGCGCGGAAGAUGUAACGGGGCUAAACCAUGCACCGAAGCUGCGGCAGCGACGCUUAUGCGUUGUUGGGUAGGGGAGCGUUCUGUAAGCCUGUGAAGGUGUGCUGUGAGGCAUGCUGGAGGUAUCAGAAGUGCGAAUGCUGACAUAAGUAACGAUAAAGCGGGUGAAAAGCCCGCUCGCCGGAAGACCAAGGGUUCCUGUCCAACGUUAAUCGGGGCAGGGUGAGUCGACCCCUAAGGCGAGGCCGAAAGGCGUAGUCGAUGGGAAACAGGUUAAUAUUCCUGUACUUGGUGUUACUGCGAAGGGGGGACGGAGAAGGCUAUGUUGGCCGGGCGACGGUUGUCCCGGUUUAAGCGUGUAGGCUGGUUUUCCAGGCAAAUCCGGAAAAUCAAGGCUGAGGCGUGAUGACGAGGCACUACGGUGCUGAAGCAACAAAUGCCCUGCUUCCAGGAAAAGCCUCUAAGCAUCAGGUAACAUCAAAUCGUACCCCAAACCGACACAGGUGGUCAGGUAGAGAAUACCAAGGCGCUUGAGAGAACUCGGGUGAAGGAACUAGGCAAAAUGGUGCCGUAACUUCGGGAGAAGGCACGCUGAUAUGUAGGUGAAGUCCCUCGCGGAUGGAGCUGAAAUCAGUCGAAGAUACCAGCUGGCUGCAACUGUUUAUUAAAAACACAGCACUGUGCAAACACGAAAGUGGACGUAUACGGUGUGACGCCUGCCCGGUGC